CCGGAAAGGAGAUGUGGGCGGAGCAGCGAGUUCUUGGAGUGGGCUUAGGCUCAGCCGGAAAAAGAAAUUAAGACUCAAAAGAAACACCAAGGAUGCUCCAGGAGAGAGGAAAACCCAGUGAGAACAUCGGGGGACGACAGCCAUCUGCAACCCAAGGAAAGAGGCUUCUCACGAAACCCAACCUUGAUCUCACCCUCCCAGCCCCCAGAACUCACCCACACUUCGUGACAUCAUAAAGAAGAGGAGGAUGUGUUCUGAAGUCUGGAAACACCUGCCUGUUACUGACUCAACGCCACAAGCUCUUAGUUUAUAAGAGGAAAAAAAAAUCAUAAAAGACCUUGAAUGCUGC
ensembl:lncRNA